rnacentral:lncRNA from 1 species
CUAUUCAUAAAAGGUUUAUAAGGUAAUCGGCUUUAAAGAACCAAUUUCGACAAAGUCCGUAUCAAGUGGCAAAAACGGCCAACAUAGAUAUUUUUCAAAGCAAAGUAACUUACUCAAGUUUGAAAACUUACAAAUCAAUCUUAAUCAAUCAUGUAGUCAUGAACUUAAGUCACUUACGAACUAUCAAACAUUAGUUCAAAGAUUAGCCUAAGUUCGUAUGAGAAAACCCCAAGUUCACGCAUUCCGUAAUCCCACC